CCUCAAAAUGCAUUUACACCCCUCGCCCCCGCCGCAGAUUUGCUUAAAAAUGCCAGAAUGAGCAUGUGCUUAGAAAAAUCAUUUGCUUUUUAGACCCCCCCCACCUCUACCCCCAGCUCCAGCCCCCAACUUGGUAAAAAAAAUUGCAAAGGGAAAGGAUCUAGCCAGGAUGGAGUGGAUGACGACACACACGUGCCCUUUGGAAAAGCUGCGACUGUCAUACGUGACAGCCUAGCUUAAAGGACAGAGCUGAGUGCAAGGGAAUGGGGGGAAACCAGAUGAAACGAAGUGAGAAGCGAACACAAAUAAUUGACACCAGAAGUCAACUGCUGAGCUUUUUGGAAUGAGAUUACAGUGGAAACAGCCAUGCCAAGAAAUCUGCACUGGUAUUCUUGCUUGGUUCUUACUACAUCACAUCGGGAGGUCCAAGCGUUCAUGCCGAGUUUGAUUCCUUUCCUAAGACAAUGACCACCAAAUACCUCCAAGGCAAGAUGCAGUUUCUCUGACUACAUGGUACCGUGAGGAAGGUUACUUCUCCAACCCAUAAAUUCUUCCCAACACUACCCAAGCGUGGACAGCAGGACCAGAUGUUUGAGAAGGCCUGGAGGAACCUGCAUCUGAAUUCAAUAUCAUCAAAAUGAAAGAGGGUCAAGAGUUUAGGAAACCGUAUAAAGCAAUAACCACACAAGAUAUUUUAUUAAUAAAUUCUAUCCAGUUUUGACAUGUACUGUCAUACAUCAUAAACAUAACUGGUACACUUUUCCUAUCAUUUGUUGUGAAUUUCUGGAUCUAAGACUACUUCUUUAGUACAAAGGGAACCAGUACAUUAGAUAGAAUUGUGUUAACAAUAAAUGUAUAAAUACAUUAACUGUAAAAUGGUAUAUAAGACUGGGAUUGGAAUGUAAAAAUAAAUUAAUAAAAAAAGCAAA